AAGAGUUCUUCCAGUGAGAUGUCAAAAAUCGAGUAUGACAACCACUCGAAUUUCUCUA
rnacentral:pre_miRNA from 1 species